CCUACGGGUGGCAGCAGUGAGGAAUAUUGGUCAAUGGGCGCGAGCCUGAACCAGCCAAGUAGCGUGAAGGAUGACUGCCCUACGGGUUGUAAACUUCUUUUAUAAAGGAAUAAAGUGAGGCACGUGUGCCUUUUUGUAUGUACUUUAUGAAUAAGGAUCGGCUAACUUCGUGCCAGCAGCCGCGGUAAUACGGAGGAUGCGAGCGUUAUCCGGAUUUAUUGGGUUUAAAGGGAGCGUAGGUGGGUUGUUAAGUCAGUUGUGAAAGUUUGCGGCUCAACCGUAAAAUUGCAAUUGAUACUGGCAGACUUGAGUACAGAUGAGGUGAGCGGAAUUCGUGGUGUAGCGGUGAAAUGCUUAGAUAUAACGAAGAACUCCGAUUGCGAAGGCAGCUUACUAAACUGCCACUGACGUUGAUGCUCGAAAGUGUGGGUAUCAAACAGGAUUAGAUACCCCUGUAGUC
rnacentral:rRNA from 1 species